UACGAAGGGGGCUAGCGUUGUUCGGAAUUACUGGGCGUAAAGCGCACGUAGGCGGACAUUUAAGUCAGGGGUGAAAUCCCAGAGCUCAACUCUGGAACUGCCUUUGAUACUGGGUGUCUUGAGUAUGGAAGAGGUGAGUGGAAUUCCGAGUGUAGAGGUGAAAUUCGUAGAGAUCGGGGAGGAAGGCCGGGUGGGCGAAAGGCGGCGCUCUGGGAACGUACCUGACGCUGAGACACGGAAAGCGUGGGGAGCAAACAGGAUUAGAAACCCC
rnacentral:rRNA from 1 species